AGUGAACGCUGGCGGUGGGCCUAACACAUGCAAGUCGAACGGCAGCACAGUAAGAGCUUGCUCUUACGGGUGGCGAGUGGCGGACGGGUGAGGAAUACAUCGGAAUCUACUUUUUCGUGGGGGAUAACGUAGGGAAACUUACGCUAAUACCGCAUACGACCUACGGGUGAAAGCAGGGGAUCUUCGGACCUUGCGCGAUUGAAUGAGCCGAUGUCGGAUUAGCUAGUUGGCGGGGUAACGGCCCACCAAGGCGACGAUCCGUAGCUGGUCUGAGAGGAUGAUCAGCCACACUGGAACUGAGACACGGUCCAGACUCCUACGAGAGGCAGCAGUCGGGAAUAUUAGACAAUGGGCGCAAGCCUGAUACAGCCAUACCGCGUGGGUGAAGAAGGCCUUCGGGUUGUAAAGCCCUUUUGUUGGGAAAGAAAAGCAGCAGGUUAAUACCACGCUGUUCUGACGGUACCCAAAGAAUAAGCACCGGCUAACUUCGUG
rnacentral:rRNA from 1 species